rnacentral:sRNA from 1 species
CAUGUUGAGAGGGAAAAAAGAAAUAACGAAAUGCAGAACACACUCGAGUGACUUUUUUUCAACCCAAGUACAAGCUGAAGAUCAGGCAAAGAAACCAGUUCUGGGUUGGGUUUGGAUGGCUCGGAUGGCUUGGAUGGCUUGGAUGGCUUGGAUAGCUGGCUGGGCAGGGUUAUUGCUCGUGCCAGCGAGUCAUAUACAUACGUAGUAUUUAUAUUGCCACUAUGUAUAAUCAAAGCUUAGAGAAACCUGUGUAAAAAUAGUCUUUGCGUUUACUACUUGGGAUGCCAAGCUGUGCGAUCAGCGAGAAGCGAGCGCCGAGUAGCAGCAACAAAAAUAUACAAGCUCAAAGAUAAUAUUGAAAGGCUUGCAAUAUUAAGCAGCUCAAAAGCUAAAGAGGCGGACUGUUUUUAAUGAAACAGUUUUAAGCGAUAACAGGUGCAAAAGGCGAGCCAAACUGAUCCCUAAGUGAUCAGAAGAUCAAGGAAGAAGGAGCGAGCUGAAAUGAGUGGUUCACGUUUAAACCAAUGUUUAUUUACUGAAUUUCCGGUCUUCAGUCUAAGCUUCAGCCUAAAUCUUCAGUGACUUAAUAAGUUUUUGGAAAAUUAUUU